rnacentral:rRNA from 1 species
CCUACGGGAGGCAGCAGUGAGGAAUAUUGGUCAAUGGACGCAAGCCUGACCCAGCAACGCCGCGUGAAGGAAGAAGGCUUUCGGGUUGUAAACUUCUUUUCUCAGGGACGAAGAAAGUGACGGUACCUGAGGAAUAAGCCACGGCUAACUACGUGCCAGCAGCCGCGGUAAUACGUAGGUGGCAAGCGUUAUCCGGAUUUAUUGGGUGUAAAGGGCGUGUAGGCGGGAGCGCAAGUCAGAUGUGAAAACUCAGGGCUCAACCCUGAGCCUGCAUUUGAAACUGUGUUUCUUGAGUGCUGGAGAGGUCAUCGGAAUUCCUUGUGUAGCGGUGAAAUGCGUAGAUAUAAGGAAGAACACCAGUGGCGAAGGCGGAUGACUGGACGGCAACUGACGGUGAGGCGCGAAAGCGUGGGGAGCAAACAGGAUUAGAUACCCCGGUAGUC